rnacentral:rRNA from 1 species
UNUGACUUGAGUGCAGAAGGGGAGAGUGGAAUUCCAUGUGUAGCGGUGAAAUGCGUAGAUAUAUGGAGGANCACCAGUGGCGAAAGCGGCUCUCUGNUCUGUCACUGACGCUGAGGCUCGAAAGCGUGGGUAGCGAACAGGAUUAGAUACCCUGGUAGUNCACGCCGUAAACGAUGAGUGCUAGGUGUUAGGCCCUUUCCGGGGCUUAGUGCCGGAGCUAACGCAAUAAGCACUCCGCCUGGGGAGUACGACCGCAAGGUUGAAACUCAAAGGAAUUGACGGGGGCCCGCACAAGCGGUGGAGCAUGUGGUUUAAUUCGAAGCAACGCGAAGAACCUUACCAGGUCUUGACAUCCCGAUGCUAUUCUUAGAGAUAGGAAGUUACUUCGGUACAUCGGAGACAGGUGGUGCAUGGUUGUCGUCAGCUCGUGUCGUGAGAUGUUGGGUUAAGUCCCGCAACGAGCGCAACCCUUAUUGUUAGUUGCCAUCAUUAAGUUGGGCACUCUAGCGAGACUGCCGGUAAUAAACCGGAGGAAGGUGGGGAUGACGUCAAAUCAUCAUGCCCCUUAUGACCUGGGCUACACACGUGCUACAAUGGUCGGUACAACGAGUUGCGAGCCGGUGACGGCAAGCUAAUCUCUGAAAGCCGAUCUCAGUUCGGAUUGGAGGCUGCAACUCGCCUCCAUGAAGUCGGAAUCGCUAGUAAUCGCGGAUCAGCACGCCGCGGUGAAUACGUUCCCGGGCCUUGUACACACCGCCCGUCACACCACGAGAGUUUGUAACACCCGAAGUCGGUGAGGUAACCUUUUAGGGGCCA